UAAGCUUAUGCAUGGUUUGGAAGCCUUCCAUAAAUCGAGAUAGGAAAUCUCGCAGUUAAAGGCGUAUACCCGGUUUCUAGCGUCCGUUUGGUAUACACCCACAAGAAGCAAGGGGUUUCUUGUGGCUUGGGUCCUGCAAGACACAGGGGGUGUCUUGUGGAAAUGGUUUUGGAUUUUACUAGUGACAGACUGAAUGCAAAAUUAAUAUAGCUCCGUCAGAUUCCUUAAUUUCAGCUUUGGAAAAGGACAGGGAAAAACUGAAAGUUAAGCUGAAGAGAUGUUGUUCAGCCUGUGAUAUUGGGGAAAGAUGUUUAAAGUUAAAAAAACAGUAAUCAGGAAGAUAGGUUGAAAAUCAUGUAUCACAGGUACCUCCGAGAGAAGCAGCCUCUGUAUCCAUCCUAUUUGAUAUUGAUAAGGAGGAAGAGAUUGCUGUCACUGGCAACAAGCAACACAUUCACAUUUAGAGUUAAGAAGGGGUUAAACCAGAAGCGCUGUUGCAGAGGCAGGCAUCUGCAGCUCCUGCAGAGCAGGGUGAGCAGCUGUGAAAAAAAAAAAAAGGGAAAA